UACGAAGGGUGCAAGCGUUACUCGGAAUUACUGGGCGUAAAGCGUGCGUAGGUGGUUUGUUAAGUCUGUUGUGAAAGCCCCGGGCUCAACCUGGGAAUGGCAAUGGAUACUGGCAAGCUAGAGUGCGGUAGAGGGUAGUGGAAUUCCCGGUGUAGCGGUGAAAUGCGUAGAUAUCGUAAGGAAGACCAGUGGCGAAGGCGAGUCUCUGGACAGUUACUGACACUGAGGCACGAAGGCCAGGGGAGCAAACGGG
rnacentral:rRNA from 1 species